UUAUAUAGCUGGUGUUGUUUUUUUGGUGCAGUGGUUUCCAAGCUUUUUUAGCUCGUAACCCCAUUUUAACAUCACAAAUUUCUGGUGACCCCAGACAUUCAAAACAGAGACUUUUUUUUUUUUUUUUUUUUUUUUGCUAAAAUUUAUUU